rnacentral:rRNA from 1 species
GACGAACGCUGGCGGCGUGCUUAACACAUGCAAGUCGAACGGAAAGGCCCUGCUUUUGUGGGGUGCUCGAGUGGCGAACGGGUGAGUAACACGUGAGUAACCUGCCCUUGACUUUGGGAUAACUUCAGGAAACUGGGGCUAAUACCGGAUAGGAGCUCCUGCUGCAUGGUGGGGGUUGGAAAGUUUCGGCGGUUGGGGAUGGACUCGCGGCUUAUCAGCUUGUUGGUGGGGUAGUGGCUUACCAAGGCUUUGACGGGUAGCCGGCCUGAGAGGGUGACCGGCCACAUUGGGACUGAGAUACGGCCCGGACUCCUACGGAAGGCAGCAGUGGGGAAUAUUGCACAAUGGGCGGAAGCCUGAUGCAGCAACGCCGCGUGCGGGAUGACGGCCUUCGGGUUGUAAACCGCUUUCGCCUGUGACGAAGCGUGAGUGACGGUAAUGGGUAAAGAAGCACCGGCUAACUACGUG